rnacentral:rRNA from 1 species
GAUGAACGCUGGCGGCGUGCCUAAUACAUGCAAGUCGAGCGAACAGACGAGGAGCUUGCUCCUCUGACGUUAGCGGCGGACGGGUGAGUAACACGUGGAUAACCUACCUAUAAGACUGGGAUAACUUCGGGAAACCGGAGCUAAUACCGGAUAAUAUAUUGAACCGCAUGGUUCAAUAGUGAAAGACGGUUUUGCUGUCACUUCUAGAUGGAUCCGCGCCGCAUUAGCUAGUUGGUAAGGUAACGGCUUACCAAGGCAACGAUGCGUAGCCGACCUGAGAGAGUGAUCGGCCACACUGGAACUGAGACGCGGUCCAGACUCCUACGGGAGGCAGCAGUAGGGAAUCUUCCGCAAUGGGCGAAAGCCUGACGGAGCAACGCCGCGUGAGUGAUGAAGGUCUUCGGAUCGUAAAACUCUGUUAUUAGGGAAGAACAAAUGUGUAAGUAACUAUGCACGUCUUGACGGUACCUAAUCAGAAAGCCACGGCUAACUACGUG